GAGUCUGAAACAGAAAAAGAUAGAUAGAUGCCUUUGAGAGGUAUAUAUACAGACGGAUGCUGAUGAUUGUAUCCGCGAACAGAAUGCUUAAACUUCCGUCAAUAUUUUUGUUUUUAGUGUAGGUACUUUCGAAAUUGUCCUCGUAGCACAUUGUUUUUUGUUAAAAAUCACCAGGCAGAGUUUCUUUCCCCUCCUUAAAGUAAUUACCAAUCAGCGUUGACGUAGUAAGUUUUCGAUGACAUAAAACAGUCUCGUACGCACAGGAAAUUUUCAUUCUAGAAUUGUUGUUGUUGGUAUAACAAGUUCAUAAAGAAAGUGACGUUUCGGUGUGUUGAAAUUUGAAAGUGAUAACAAAUACUUGAUCAAAAAUGGCUUUUAUGAUGCCGGUAGUGAAAAACGAUUGGGAUAUCUACAAAGCCAAUCGUUCUCGAAAAGUUUCCGAGUGUGCUAACCCUACAUCGUGCCGUUCGAGGAAAGUGUCUGAGUGUAAAUCAGAAGGACCAGGUCUGUCGACUUCUCCUGGAUCGGAAUUCGUUACAUCCCCGACCCGUAGUUCCGUGCCCAGCAAUAUGUCAUCCAGACAGUACUCCAGAGCAAGUUCCAAAACGAGUGAAAGCAGCCCUUCCAGCCCAGUGAGGCAUUUGAGUGUAGGGUCAUCGCCCCCGAAGAACGACUCAUCAGAGCCGACCUUGAACAAGUUCCACAACAGACUUCUGGACAAACUGAAGAAGUCUUUUAGGAGUGGGACAGAGAGCGAAAAAACCAGUUCAUGAGACAAGGAAAAGGAAGGGUCGCCCUCAAAAGGUGACGGGAAAAGACUGUAGAGGUGAUUUUUGUUUACCUAACCGGGCCAUCGAGCUACGUAUGUUCAGGUAUAGCAACUGAUCUGUUGUUCUGUGAUAUAUGUAGUGAAUAUAGUAGCUUUAAUUGAAUUGUUUAAGUUUACUGCUCGGUUAGUAUACAUAUUGUUAUAUUUAUUUGAUUUUUUCACAGUAUAAUAGCGUUGAAAAAAGAAUAAGGAUUUAUAACACCAUUUUAAUCUACAUUUUUUAACCUAUACAUACUGUAAUGCGAUAUUGAGAACUUAUUGUUCUCGUAGAAUAGGGAAUUAGAUUUAUAAAUGACAAGACUGCAGAUAAAUUUAUACAUAAGUAAUUAUAAUAUUCCUCAAAACUGAAAGGAAUCAAUUAUUUUUUAUUUUUUCAUCCAAAAUCAACAUUAUCUUCUUUAUAUUUCCUUUCUUGUUAACCAAUUUAAGGUUGUGGUUUCAUAAUUGCUGUUAAAAAUUACACAACAUUAUUGAAUAUCAGUAAAAAUUACAUUAAAUUGUUGAAUAUAAGUAACUAUUUAAUAUUUCUUUAGUGAUAUUGCAAAAGUUGAUAAGAAUUGUUGAUAAAAUCUUUUUAUUUGAUAAAUUUUCUUGUAACAUUAUUUCAUGUUUUAAACAAUCUAGCUUUGGCUGUUUGUAAGAUAAAGCAGCUAUAAAAAAAUUAAGACUAGCUUGAUCUACAACAGCUGUUGCAGUAUCACUUAAGAUUUAUAGGUGAAAGUGUCUACUUAAGUUUUCUUUUUUUAAUUGAUGUUAAACUUAUGUAAAAUAUUAAUAAGUAAUUAUAUAAAUAAUAAUUCCUUUUUUUCUUGAGGAUCAAAAAGCAAAUAUAUAUUUAUUAUAAGAAAUUAAUACUUCGCUUAUUAUUGUUAUACUCUAUAUUAUUGGGAAUAUUAUGUGUCUUCGGAGGGUUAAAGUAUAUAUUUUUAGUGAAGAAAGAAGCUUUAGGGGUACUUCCAGACAAUAAUCGAGUACCUAUCACAUCACUAAAAAGCGACUGCCCUCUUACAUAAGUGCUCAGAAAGAAUAUUUCUUGGUUUAAUUCUUCUUCUUGUAAAAGUAGUUUGUUUGAAAUGUUAGUGAUUUGAGUUAGUUUCGAAUUGUUAGUAGUAAGAAAUAUUUUUCUAUGUGUUUGAUAGUAACAUUCCAAAACCAAGUUCUAAAUUGUGUAAACGAAAAUUGUCUAACGAAUUCUUGUACAAUAAUUAGCUAAAAUGUUGAUGGUUAUUACAGUUUUUGUGUAAUUGUAAAUGAGUUGGAGAAAAACUUAAAUUUCAUAGAUAUUUUCUCAUCUAACUAUUUAUAUGGAUAAUUAAAAACCAAAUAAAAUUUAUUUAAUUGCA